GACGAACGCUGGCGGCGUGCCUAAUACAUGCAAGUCGAACGAACCGCGACUGAGUGCUUGCACUUGGUCAAGGUGAGUGGCGAACGGGUGAGUAACAAGUGGGUAACCUACCUCAUAGUGGGGGAUAACAGUCGGAAACGACUGCUAAUACCGCAUUGGACAUAGGAUCACAUGAUCCAGUGAGGAAAGGUGGCGCAAGCUAUCGCUAAGAGAUGGACCCGCGGUGCAUUAGCUAGUUGGUGGGGUAAAGGCCUACCAAGGGGAUGAUGCAUAGCCGACCUGAGAGGGGGAUCGGCAACAUUGGGGCUGAGACGCGGCCCAAACUCCGACGGGAGGCAGCAGUAGGGAAUCUUCCGAAAUGGACGCAAGUCUGACGGAGCAACGCCGCGUGAGUGAAGAAGGUCUGCGGAUCGUAAAGCUCUGUUGUUAGAGAAGAACAGCGCAUAGAGUAACUGCUAUGCGUGUGACGGUAUCGAACCAGAAAGCCACGGCUAACUACGU
rnacentral:rRNA from 1 species